ensembl:lncRNA
UUUUUUUUUUGGUUUUUUUUUUUUUUCUUCUUCUUUUCUUUUUAAACAAGGACUUAGAGAAAAAAAAUAAAAAAAAAGAAACGACCACGAAGCGAAAGGAAUCUGUUGAGCAAAAAAACAAAAGAACAAAAAAAUUAAAAAAAAAUAAAAUAAAAACUUUUAAUUUAUUAUUUUAAGGACUGCAAAUGCCAGUGUAAUUUUUUAAAUUUGCAGUUUCUGUAAACAAAUUGUAUAAUAGAACAAAAGCCAAGAAAUAAAUUUCCCUCCCCUUCAUCUGCACCUCAGUUUUGUUUCCAAGCAUGAGAAAUAGACAAAACUUUCCAGGGGGCUGGGGUGAGCUAGGUGAGGAAGAGACCCGGUUUUAUGUUCUUUUCUUUUUUAAAUUGCCAUCAGAUUUUUCUGCCUGCCUCUCAGCUUGCUUCAGAAACUUAAACAAACAAACAAAAAAAGAACCUAGUAAUCCAAAAACCUACAUAACCUUGGAACGGAAGGAAACGCAAUUGAGAAACACGCUGCGGACCAGAGCGCUCCGAAAACAAAGUAAAACUCAUUUGAACCAGUGCUCCCCUGGGGGAAAAAAAAAAAGUCCUUAGUGCUACUUUGAGAACCUUUAGAGCAACUUUAAGGCUUGUAAAUACAUAGAACAAAUAUUUAAAAAAAGAAAAAAAAAAAAAGAAAAAAAAAGAAAUUGACUCGAUACUAUUUCUUUUCACUUUCAAAAUAUAAAGAACAAAAUAAAGACAAACGUUGCAAGUUUAACAGAAAGUCAAACGACUUCUCCUUUGGCAGCUGCUGAAUGUGUGGCAGCAUCGCUCCCCCCGUCGCGGUGUAGCUCCUCGGUUCCAAAUUGUGUACAUAUAGUGUGUGUAUGUUUGUGUGUCCACCAAAAAGAGGGGUGAGAGCAAUUGUUGUCUAAGAAAAUAAGGAAAAUAUAAGGGGGGUUGCUGCUUGGGAGACCUUUUCUGCAGAGAACUUGCUGGCAGGGCUGCUGCGGGUGUGUUUGGUUCCCAGCAUGUUGUUGGGAGACAACCUCGGGGGUGGUUGGUGCUGAUCCCAGUGUGGUUUUCCCAGCCAUGUGGCUGUGGUGUCUCGUAUGUGACUUGGAUCUGUGGCAUCAUCCUGGGGACCUGGAAUCCUGGUAGCUCCGGAGGUCGCAGCCGCUCGAGCAGAGAACCGACAGCCCCUCACCAUUGCUGCCCUUCGCAUCUCCUGGUCGCCUUGCUGUGCCUGAGGAGCCCAGAGACCCGUAGGGAUGAACACAGGAGCACCCUACACGAGUCAAGAGGAGGAACAAGCAAUGUGAUGCUCUGCCCACCCCAUGACAGUGGCUGAAGGCUGAGUGCUGCCCAGGUACAGCUGAGCAGCAGUCGCUUUGCAGUGCAGUCGGAGCUCCAAACUGAGCUGCUGCCGAGGGGGUGAAGUCUCUUGUGUGUCUCUCCGACAACCAAAAAUGACCUGCUGGCUCUCACUGUGAAGAAGCAUCUACCAUAACGCAAAGGUUGUGAAGCCCCGAAACAUUGUUUGUGAACUGUGGUCCAUGGAGCACGAGUAACCUGUGGAGCACUUGCUGGUGGGCUGUGCAGCACUAGGUGCCCACAUGAUGCUGUCCUUCUCCUUCCAGCUGCUAAAUCACUUCUUUUUUAUAAAAAAAGGGGGGAAAAAGGGAAAAAAAGGUAAAAAAAUGGGAAAAACAAGAAAAAAAAA